rnacentral:rRNA from 1 species
GACGAACGCUGGCGGCGUGCUUAACACAUGCAAGUCGAACGGAAAGGCCCUGCUUUUGUGGGGUGCUCGAGUGGCGAACGGGUGAGUAACACGUGAGUAACCUGCCCUUGACUUUGGGAUAACUUCAGGAAACUGGGGCUAAUACCGGAUAGGAGCUCCUGCUGCAUGGUGGGGGUUGGAAAGUUUCGGCGGUUGGGGAUGGACUCGCGGCUUAUCAGCUUGUUGGUGGGGUAGUGGCUUACCAAGGCUUUGACGGGUAGCCGGCCUGAGAGGGUGACCGGCCACAUUGGUACUGAGAUACGGCCCAGACUCCUACGUUAGGCAGCAGUGGGGAAUAUUGCACAAUGGUCGGAAGCCUGAUGCAGCAACGCCGCGUGCGUGAUGACGGCCUUCGGGUUGUAAACCGCUUUCGCCUGUUACGAAGCGUGAGUGACGGUAAUGGGUAAAUAAGCACCGGCUAACUACGUG